UACGUAGGUGGCAAGCGUUGUCCGGAUUUACUGGGCGUAAAGAGCGCGCAGGCGGUCGUUCAAGUCGCGUGUGAAAGCCCCCGGCUCAACUGGGGAGGGUCACGCGAUACUGAUCGACUCGAAGGCAGGAGAGGGUAGUGGAAUUCCCGGUGUAGUGGUGAAAUGCGUAGAUAUCGGGAGAACACCAGUGGCGAAGGCGACUACCUGGCCUGUUCUUGACGCUGAGGCGCGAAAGCUAGGGGAGCAAACGGG
rnacentral:rRNA from 1 species